rnacentral:misc_RNA from 1 species
GAAAUGCGAUAAGUAAUGUGAAUUGCAGAAUUCAGUGAAUCAUCGAAUCUUUGAACGCACCUUGCGCUCCUUGGUAUUCCUUGGAGCAUGCCUGUUUGAGUAUCAUGAAAUCUUCAAAGUAAAUCUUUUGUUAACUCAAUUGGUUUCUACUUUGGUAUUGGAGGUCUUUGCAGCUUCACACCUGCUCCUCUUUGUUCAUUAGCUGGAUCUCAGUGUUAUGCUUGGUUCCACUCGGCGUGAUAAGUUAUCUAUCGCUGAGGACACUGUAAAAGGUGGCCAAGGUAAAUGCAGAUGAACCGCUUCUAAUAGUCCACUGACUUGGAUAAUACUUUUAUGAUCUGAUCUCAAAUCAGGUAGGACUACCCGCUGAACUUAAGC